rnacentral:tRNA from 1 species
GCGCUUCUAGCUCAAUUGGUAGAGCAAUUGAUUUGUAAUCACUAGGUUGCGAGUUCGAUCCUCGCGGGGCGCUCCA